GACCAAGGUGCGACUCGAGCGCCAGCGAGAAAGCGUUGCCGCAGGCAACGACCCGAAGGGUGAAGCGCGCAGCGCUGAGUAAUCCUUCCCCCACCACCA
rnacentral:sRNA from 1 species